ensembl:misc_RNA 7SK 7SK RNA
GGAUGUGAGGGUGACCUGGCUGUGACAUCUGUCACCUCAACUAUCUCACUAGGCUGGUGUCCUCUUCCUCCCUCACCACUCCAUGUGUCUCCCUCAUCCCAUCCCAUAAUAUGCACGCUUGGUUUGGGGGAGGAUGUUUUUCCCCAAACAGAGAGGGACCAGUGCUCCGUAGAGAGCACGUGAUUUGCUGGAUGCCUCCCGGCUCUAAAGGCCAAGAACCAAGCCAGUCCAUGUUUCCUUUGUGAAAGCAUCCUAGACUAUUCAGAUCCAUGUUUCAGUUCCCUCCUUUGGAAUUCUU